rnacentral:rRNA from 1 species
GUCGAGCGCACUGGCCCAACUGAUCUGACGUGCUUGCACUGAAGUGACGAUGGAUUACCAGUGAGCGGCGGACGGGUGAGUAACACGUGAGCAACCUGCCCUGAAGCGGGGGAUAACAUUUGGAAACAGGUGCUAAUACCGCAUAACAACGAAAACCACAUGGUUUUCGUUUCAAAGAUGGUUUCGGCUAUCACUUCAGGAUGGGCCCGCGGUGCAUUAGCUUGUUGGUAGGGUAACGGCCUACCAAGGCAAUGAUGCAUAGCCGAGUUGAGAGACUGAUCGGCCACAAUGGAACUGAGACACGGUCCAUACUCCUACGGGAGGCAGCAGUAGGGAAUCUUCCACAAUGGGCGCAAGCCUGAUGGAGCGACACCGCGUGAGUGAAGAAGGGUUUCGGCUCGUAAAGCUCUGUUGUUGAAGAAGAACGUGCGUGAGAGCAACUGUUCACGCAGUGACGGUAUUCAACCAGAAAGUCACGGCUAACUACGUGCCAGCAGCCGCGGUAAUACGUAGGUGGCAAGCGUUAUCCGGAUUUAUUGGGCGUAAAGCGAGCGCAGGCGGUUGCUUAAGUCUGAUGUGAAAGCCUUCGGCUUAACCGAAGAAGUGCAUCGGAAACUGAGCGACUUGAGUGCAGAAGAGGACAGUGGAACUCCAUGUGUAGCGGUGGAAUGCGUAGAUAUAUGGAAGAACACCAGUGGCGAAGGCGGCUGUCUGGUCUGCAACUGACGCUGAGGCUCGAAAGCAUGGGUAGCGAACAGGAUUAGAUACCCUGGUAGUCCAUGCCGUAAACAAUGAGUGCUAGGUGUUGGAGGGUUUCCGCCCUUCAGUGCCGCAGCUAACGCAUUAAGCACUCCG